UUAUAUGUCCUACUAAUAUUUCUCUUUUCAGUUUUCUUAAUGGUUUAGGAAGUAAUGCUGGUAAGUGCUUUAUUUGAAAUGACUGUGUAAAGAUUUUAUAUGUUUGAGUUGCUUUAUAUAAUUUGAUUUUUAACUAUUUUAUAUUUUAUCUUUAAAUGUAUAAAUUUUAUUAGUCAUCAGUAGUUCUACUUCUGUAGUACCAUGGAUUUCAGUAUGUUCACUUAUAGAUAUUACCAACUAGACAGUUUUAUGCCAUUUAUUGAUAGGUCAGAAUCUGUUUAUACUAGGUCAGUUUCUGAAGCCAAGUAAACCGUAGUAGAUAAAUCUUAUUUUGAUAUUUUCAAGCAAACUUCUUUACUCCUGAGGAAGCAUGGUUCCUGUCUCACAUAUGCUCUGUAGUGCUGAAAUUGGAGAAUCAGACAGGAAGUAUCUCUCAAACACUUAUAGUUCCCACAGAAACAGGCAUUAAAGUUCCCCGUUUACUGAAGCAUAAUCUCAGGCAAAUUGCCUUCCCAUCUGCAGCAGGCAUUCAAUAAAUAUAAAUUGAUUUGAUGUUUUAUAGGAAGGUCUGGAGAAUAACUGGUUUUCCCAAGGACUUUUUUUUUUUUUGAGACAGAGUCUUGCUCUGUCGCCCAGGCUGGAGUGCAGUGGCGUGAUCUCGGCUCACUGCAAGCUCCGCCUCCCUAGUUCAUGCCGUUCUCCUGCCUCAGCCUCCCGAGUAGCUGGGACUACAGGCACCCGCCACUGUGCCCAGCUAUUUUUUGUAUUUUUAGUAGAGACGGGGUUUCACCAUGUUAGCCAGGAUGGUCUCGAUCUCCUGACCUUGUGAUCCACCCGCCUCGGCCUCCCAAAGUGCUGGGAUUACAGGCGUGAGCCCAAGGACUUUCUUAUAUUUCUUCAUCUGUAACAAAGAUUGGGGAUUUUUAAAAUGGAUCUUUGGACAGAUUUCCAGUUUUGAGUAUUUGGAGGAGUCAUGGAAUAUUUUGAUCAAGCCAUUUUGAAACUGUUUGACAUAGUUAUAUUGAAGCUAGAAGUAUAUUGAUAGGAUUUAGAAAGCCAAUAAUUAAAUUUUCUAGCCUUUAAAAAAGAUUUUCGGUGAAGCAUAUAGUUGACAUUCCUACCCUAUUUCUAAGCCCUCUCAGUCCUUGAUUUUCUUUGUCCAACCCUGCGUCUCUGCAAGACUUGAGGAAGGAUGGACAUUGAGGUUCAUGGAAGGGGGCUGACAGACUUAGAGGGGCAUUGAUGCCUGCCGAGCUCCUUACUUAGUAAUAAAAUAUAAUGAUUUUCCCAUUUUCAUAGUCAUAAAAGGGCCUGCUUCUUCUUUUGUGAACAUUUUGUUAAUGGAUGAGGAAAAGAGGAAGAAUUAGGAAAUGAAUUACAGUUGAUUUAUAUUUUCAAAGUCCUUUCUGAAUGCCCAGAGAUCUUUGCUACCUCAGUAACAUUGUUCAAAAUCCCUAUACUUCUCUUCUUCGUAUGCAUUUGGCUUAUAUUUUGUUUUAGGUUUUUCUUUAUAUCCUCUCCCUUAUUUCCUUUUAUCCCUUCAUGAUGUUGGUGAAAUUUGCAUAUUAUAGGGAGAUGUUGAAGGAGAUCAUUCUCAACAUAGAUACUUGAUUCCUAUUUAAAUUAUGUUAACAGUAAUAGUUCUGCAAACUUAGCAGUGCCUUUUAAAAACUACGUUCGAUAAAUGUAGAUAUGUUGGUAGAAGACAGAAUUGUUUGCAAGUUUAUUUCAAAUGUGUCAGUAGGAGAUAUUAUAGAGAUAUUGACUCAGUGAUAGAUUGUCUGUAAUUGGACUACUUAGGACUGGUGUACCUGAUAAUCAUUCAGUGUUUCAGGAUACAUGUUAAACUAACAAAGAAAACAAAUUGUAUUUGUCACCCUUCUUUGCCUUCAGGGUAGUAGUGUGGUUUUUACAAGUAAAAAGAAACUAAAAGCCUUGCAUUUCUCCCUGAAGAAAAUCAGAAUAAUAGGCUGAUACAAAUUCCUAACACUCUGCCUCCAUGCAGGGCUUGUGUAUUUCAGCCAUUUUUCUUGGGGCUCCAGUCUUAGAGCAUACACAUGCAUACAUGUUGCAAGACUUCACAUCUGUAACUCAAUACUGUGCUUAGUAUUUGGAGGUUAAGUUGGUUAAAAGUCAGAAGCUGCUAUUAGUUUGACAGAAACAUUUGUUUAGUAAAAUGUUUUGUUUAAAGCAUCAUACAAAAUAGUUUACUGGCCAGGCAUGGCGGCUCACACCUCUAAAUCCCAGUACUUUGGGAGGCCGAGGCAGGAAGAUCCCUUGAGCCCAGGAGUUUGAGAACAGCCUGGACAACAUAAGGAGACCCCAUCUCUAUAAAGUAAUAAUAAUAAUAAUAAAAUGGUGUUUGCCUUGCAGCCCAGGGUGAGUAGAAAAGUAUGGCUGAAUGUAAAGCAACAAAUAUUUUAUUUAUUUUACUUUCUAUAUACUUCUUAAAAGAAAGUUUAUUUAUUCUUAGUAAAUAAAUACUACCUUUACUUAAGUCCUAACUUAACAUUGUCAGUACAUUCUUGGAAACUGCAACUUUGAGCAAAGUGACAUACUGUAUGCUGUAGGAACCUUAACUCUUGUUUCUAUCAAGUAGCCUAGGGUAAAAUGGAUUUCAUUAUACAGUAAGUUGUUUCACUUAAAGUCUCAAUUUCCAAGAACUAAUUAACAAUAUUAAUUGAGGACUUAAACUGUAUUUAUUUGUUAGGUUUGUGAACUAUUUGCAAUAAGUUCAUUAUGUGCAAAAGGCAUAGGAACAUUUCUCGGUUGUCUUUCUGUAUUACUAAUGCUGUGUCCUUUACAUCACCACAACAUUUGUGUGUGUUACUGUGCAUUCUCCAAAUUGGUGUAGUUCCUCUUGCUUGUUGCUUAUCAAUUCCUUGAGUUAUUUCAUGAUUUUUUAUAUUGGCCUAAUGACCUUAUAUGAAGAAUGUUCAGUAAUGUUGGUAAGUUUUUAACAUUUACUAUUUCUCUUUUUCACUCUCAGCUACUUCUCAGUUUUACUUUUAGAAAUUGAGGAAGUACAUAAAUGUCAAGCUCUGAAAAUUGUGUUUAGCUAAAAUUUUAAAAGUUAUGUGAGAGAGUAAUAAAGGAGUUUACUAAGUAAAGUAGAAACAAAAAUGACAAAUUCAAAACUAUUCAGAAGGUUGAAAUAAUAAAUUACAUUUAUGUUACUAGACAGUAAUGUUAUUGUCUUAAUCUGAUUAUUGAAUUUUGCACCUAAAUUAAUGAAAAUUAUGCAAACCUUUAUUUUCAGUAUAAUUUUUUAAUUCUCCUCACACAAAGCAGCUCAUCAUUAAUAAGCAUCCUCCUGAUACAUUUUGUAUAUGUUUCUGUAAGCUCUUACCUCAUUAUGUUCAUAUUGUAAAUAUUUCCAUAUUUAUGUAUUUCCUUUCUAGAAUGUGGAUUACUUUACCUAUUUUAGAAUCUCUCUGCUAGCAUGUUAUCUGCACAUUGGUCAUUACUCAGUAAAUACUUAUAGAUUGCAUGCUAGGUAAUGUAAAAGAAAAGGAAGUGUAAAAGUACAUUAAAUAAAAAGACAGUAUUGUAGAUUGUGAAAAGCUCUUACAAUACUUUUGUGAGAAUUAUUUAUGAUCUUUUCAAAGACCUUUUAUCAUACUCAGUAUCUAAGAACGAAUCCUAGAAUAUCUAAGGCUUAGUUUCCUUUGUUCCAUUCACUAGCUAUUGUGUGAUUUCCUUAACUUUUUACAUUGUGAUUUUUUUCCACCCAUUCUUGAACCAUGUUCUUUUACUUUUAUUGUAUGCAUACUACCAGCACUAACACAGAAGCAGUAAGACUGCAUUUUUAUCGCUGUUUUACACCAAAAAAAAAAUAUGCACAGUAAUCCCCGGUUCAUGUUUUCUCUACCCCUAAAGAAAAUUGUUCUUAGGUCAGUAAUUCUAAAUUGAUAUUUCACAGUCUCUGUAUCUCAGUGGGAUCUUACUGGUCAAAGGAAGUUUCAACUUUUGAACAUUUCUACUUUUGGAUAAUCUAAAUAUUUUUACAUUUAGAUAUAGUCUUCACAUAGUAGUGCUUCCUGCCAACUAGCAUAUCUGUUUUGGCAGCUUUUGUAUUAUUGCAUGAACAGCAAUGUUUCUUGAUCAUUAAAAUAUGUUAUUGCAAAAUGCCUCUGGUAUUUAAUAAAAAUAAAAGUCCUAUAAAGUUAAUCUAGUUAAAACACAGUUGUAAAACAUUAGAUAUGCUGAAGGUCUUGUAUCUGUUAUCUCACCUAGCUGUGCUCACUUGACUUAACCUAAUUGAUGAUAAAUAUGUCAGUAAGAAGAACAAAAUUAUAGCACACUUCAUAGUUCCACAAAAUAUUGCCAAAAGUGGUAUCUAAGCUUGUAGAUAUAGAGAGAAAUGUUCUCAAGGUAUUAGGUGUCUGGACUUAGAUUAAAAUAACUUAUGUCUCUCUUUUUCAAUUUUUUCCUCAUUCAAAAAUGGUACCUUAAAGACAUUGUUUUUGUUUUACAUGAUUAAAUUUGCAAGCUUAACUGUGCACAGGAAGAAUUUGUUAUUUUGCUUCUUCCUCUUACUGGUUUGAUAGAAGCAAACCAAGAUGGUUUCAACUAUCAUUUUCCAUUUAUUUAUUUAUUUAGGUAACAUUCUUUGAGCAGCUGCAAUAUCCCAUGUUCUGUACUAUGCUCUGAACUAAAAAGAACUCUGAGACACAAUCCUUAGUGUCAAGAAGUUAAAGUUAAAAUUAAAACUGAAAUUUCUAUUGAGGGGCAUGGUAUUAAUAAUUACUUAAAAUGAGUAUCCUGUUAUCCUUCAAAUUUAAUUAUGGCUGCUAGACAUUUUUUGUUACUUUCUACUACGUUGGUUGGGCAUGCUGAUAUGAGCAUGAUUUUAAAGGCUGCAUGUCUGCCAAGAAGCUGUGAUAAAUCAGUUAGAAUCCAAUAGGAAAUAUUAAACCCUGACCAUAAAUCAUACUAUGCUCAGCAGUGUGCAUUUUUAGCAAGUCAUUCUUCACCAACUUUUCCUUCCAUCUGAUGCCCUACUUUGGUUUAAUUGAAAUUCAUUAGAGACUUAAAUUUUAUGUAAUUAACAGUAAACUUAAGAAAUGCACAGUAGCUGUGUCAGUAGUUACAGGCUGCAAGUGGUUACUCUUUAAUUGCUGUCAUAAUGGCCCAUUAGUCAUGCCUCUGAAGAGAUGUCAGAUGCUUUCUUCUCUUUCUGAAACAUCUGUGUUAUUUAAUAAAUUGAAUAAGCAAGCAGAGUUUGCACAGAAUACUAAAUAAGUUGAAUAAUCACCUUUCUAGAGACAUUCUUUGAAGUAAUAUUACUCUGUGUGCAACAUUUCUGUGCUACCCUUAGUAAUAAAACUCGGAGAGUUGUCUUUCACAUCCACGUGUUAACGGGACAUUAACAAAACGUUUAUCUUCUCAACCCUGAAUUUCUGCACAUCUUCCUUUGUGAGGUGUAGUAUAUUAUGCAGCAGUGAUUCUGCAGCAUUACCAUGUAAGGUUAAAAGUUAAGGAAUUGUUUUCAUUCUGUGCUUAUUUCAGGAAUCUAGAAAAUGGCUUUUGAUUUGUAGUUCUCCUUGAAGAGGUCCUUCACAUCCCUUACUUAGAAAAAACUACUUUAAAUUUCAUACGGAACCAAAAAAGAGCUCAUAUAGCCAAGACAAUCCUAAGCAAAAAGAAAAAAGCUGGAGGCAUCACACUACCUGACUUCAAACUAUGCUGCAAGGCUACAGUAACCAAAACAGCAUGGUACUGGUACCAAAACAGAUAUGUAGACCAAUGGAACAGAAUAGAUGCCUCAGAAAUAACGCCACACAUCUACAACCAUCUGAUCUUUGAUAAACCUGACAACAACAAACAACGGGGAAAGGAUUCCCUAUUUAAUAAACGGUGUUGGGAAAACUGGCUAGCCAUAUGCAGAAAACUGAAACUGGACCCCUUCCUUAUAUCUUAUACAAAAAUUAACUCAAGACAGAUUAAAGACUUAAAUGUAAGACAUAAAACCAUAAAAACCCUAGAAGAAAACCUAGGCAAUACCAUUCAGGACAUAGGCAUGGGCAGAGACUUCAUGACUAAAACACUAAAAGCAAUGGCAACAAAAGCCAAAAUAGACAAAUGGGAUCUAAUUAAACUAAAGAGCUUCUGUACAGCAAAAGAAACUACCAUCAGAGUGAACAGACAACCUACAGAAUGAGGGAAAAUUUUUGCAUUUUAUACAUCUGACAAAGGGCUAAUAUCCAGAAUCUACAAGGAACUUAAACAAAUUUACAAGAAAAAAAAAAACAUCAAAAAGUGGGCGAAGCAUAUGAACAGACACUUCUCAAAAGAAGACAUUUAUGCAGCCAACAAACAUAUGAAAAAAAGCUCAUCAUCACUUGUCAUUAGAGAAAUGCAAAUCAAAACCACAAUGAGAUACCAUCUCACGCCAGUUAGAAUGGCGAUCAUUGAAAAGUCAGGAAACAACAGAUGCUGGAGAGGAUGUGGAGAAAUAGGAAUGCUUUUACACUGUUGAUGAGAGUGUAAAUUAGUUCAACCAUUGUGGAAGAUGGUGUGGUGAUUCCUCAAGGAUCUAGAGUCAGAAAUACCAUUUGACCCAGCAAUUCCAUUACUGGGUAUAUACUCAAAGGAUUAUAAAUCAUUGUACUAAAAAGACACAUUCACAUGUAUGUUUAUUGUAGCACUGUUCACAAGAGCAAAGACUUGGAACCAACCCAAAUGUCCAUCUAUGAUAGGCUGGAUAAAGAAAAUGUGGCACAUAUACACCAUGGAAUACUAUGCAGCCAUAAAAAAGGAUGAGUUCAUGUCCUUUGCAGGGACGUGGAUGAAGCUGGAAGCCAUCAUUCUCAGCAAACUAACACAAGAACAGAAAAGCAAACACUGCAUGUUCUCACUCAUAAGUGGAAGUUGAACACUGAGAACACAUGGACCCAGGGAGGGGAACAUCACACACCAGGGUCUGUCAGGGGCUGGGGGGCAAGGGGAGGGAUAGCUUUAGGAGAAAUACCUAAUGUAGAUAACUGGUUGAUAGGUGCAGCUAACCACCAUGGCAUGUGUAUACCUGUGUAACAAACCUGCACGUUCUGCACAUGUAUCCCAGAACUUUUGAAGUAUAAUAAAAGAAAAAAAAAAAAAAAGGAAAAUGGCUUUUGAGCUCCUGAAUAGAACAAACCCCAAACUGUGUUCUUCAUAUCUUCCUUCCAAAAUAAAAAUGGAUAUCUUUGUCAGUUGGAUAUGCAGCUAUGUUUUGAAUUACUGCCAAGGACUUUAAUUCAAUUAAAUGUAAAAUUAAUUUUCCUGU